UACGAAGGGGGCUAGCGUUGCUCGGAAUCACUGGGCGUAAAGCGCACGUAGGUGGCUUGUUAAGUCAGGGGUGAAAUCCUGGAGCUCAACUCCAGAACUGCCUUUGAUACUGGCGAGCUUGAGUUCGGGAGAGGUGAGUGGAACUGCGAGUGUAGAGGUGAAAUUCGUAGAUAUUCGCAAGAACACCAGUGGCGAAGGCGGCUCACUGGCCCGAUACUGACACUGAGGUGCGAAAGCGUGGGGAGCAAACAGG
rnacentral:rRNA from 1 species